rnacentral:rRNA from 1 species
UACGUAGGGGGCAAGCGUUGUCCGGAAUCAUUGGGCGUAAAGAGCGUGUAGGCGGCCCGGUAAGUCCGCUGUGAAAGUCGGGGGCUCAACCCUCGAAUGCCGGUGGAUACUGUCGGGCUAGAGUGCGGGAGAGGCGAGUGGAAGUUCCUGGUGUAGCGGUGAAAUGACGCAGAUAUCAGGAGGAACACCUAUUGCGAAGGCAGCUCGCUGGGACGUAACUGACGCUGAGACGCGAAAGCGUGGGGAGCAAACAGG